rnacentral:tRNA from 2 species
CGGGGCGUGGCGCAGCCUGGUAGCGCACCUGCUUUGGGAGCAGGGAGUCGAAGGUUCAAAUCCUUUCGCCCCGA